UUAAAAAUAAUUUUAAAAGGACGCAGCUGUGCGUUUGAGAAACGACCGGAAACGACUUAUAUGUCGCGAGGCCAUCACGUGACCACAAUAUUUACCAGAAGACCGUUAUUUGCUCGAGUACCCUCAACUUUUUUGUCGCAAAUAACAUUAUUAAUAACCUGUAAAUAAUCAACUUUGUACACAUUACAUUCCUCUUCACUUUGUAAUAGUAUGUUUUUUGGUUUAAUAGUCGGCUUUAAGUUAGUUUUUCUGUCAGUUUGAUCGUCAAAAUCUUGAAAGUUAUCUGCAGCCACACAUCCACUGUAUACCAAGUUAUGAUGAACAAUUAUGAAAAUGCAAAAGGAUUGAUAGAUCAGUAAACAAGCAACAAAAAGCUUUACAAAAAAUGUAGAAUUUGUAGGAGCGCAUGGACAUCUGAGUAACAAAGUCAUAUUAUGCAGAUGGGUGCUCAUGGUGGCCUCCAAAUAAAUACAUGGACAGGCUGCUAAAGAGGGUCAGGAUGAUGGAGAUGCAAGAGCCAAAGACAGCACAGACCAAACACCAGGCCAGAAUUCUGCAUGAGUCAGAUUGAGUAAUUUUCACUCUAGAGACCCUUGGGUGACCACCAAGGACGAAUGCAAACUCCAGUGAGUGUCUCUAAGGUAGAUCCUAAUGCAGAUGGAUGGAAUGUUGAUCCGCCUAACAUGCAAGGUAAAAGAGCAUUUGAUAGCAUAGUGGAUAAACAAAGCUUUUUUCAUUUUCAGAGCAUUUUCAAAAACAACAUAACACUUGCUAUUACAUUGUUAUAUAUUACAUGACCAUGUCUAACUCUGAUCCAUACAAAACAGAUUUUCUGUACCGAGAACUUUGGAUGACCACGUUUUCAAAAAUCUGACCUCAAUUUUAGUAACCAUUUAGAUAUUUUAGAUGUAGUCCGAGAGCUUGCUGACCCUCCAUUAAAAAUGUAUGUACGGUAUACUGUUCAUGUCCAGAAAGUAGGGCUGCACGAUUCAAGCUAAAAUGUGAAUCCCGAUUUUUUCCAUGGGAAUUGAGAUCCCGAUUCUCUCACCCGAUUCUCUUUAUUUUAACAAAAACAUUUAUUAUGCACUUAACUAAAAAAUGUGCUA